UACGUAGGUGGCGAGCGUUGUCCGGAUUUACUGGGCGUAAAGGGAGCGUAGGCGGACUUUUAAGUGAGAUGUGAAAUACCCGGGCUCAACUUGGAUGCUGCAUUUCAAACUGGAAGUCUAGAGUGCAGGAGAGGAGAAUGGAAUUCCUAGUGUAGCGGUGAAAUGCGUAGAGAUUAGGAAGAACACCAGUGGCGAAGGCGAUUCUCUGGACUGUAACUGACGCUGAGGCUCGAAAGCGUGGGGAGCAAACAGG
rnacentral:rRNA from 1 species